rnacentral:rRNA from 1 species
GUCGUAACAAGGUUUCCGUAGGUGAACCUGCGGAAGGAUCAUUCACAAUGAGUGUUUUAUGGCACUCUUUAAAAAUCCAUAUCCACCUUGUGUGCAAUGUUUGUUGGGAGAGAGGCAACUCUUUCCCUUCACAAAUAUCAACCUAUAUCUUUAACAACAUUCGUCUGAUAACAUAUUAUGAAUAUACUUAAUUCAAAAUAUAACUUUCAACAACGGAUCUCUUGGCUCUCGCAUCGAUGAAGAACGCAGCGAAAUGCGAUACGUAAUGUGAAUUGCAGAAUUCAGUGAAUCAUCGAAUCUUUGAACGCAUAUUGCGCUCUUUGGUAUUCCGAAGAGCAUGCUUGUUUGAGUAUCAGUAAACACCUCAACCUCCUCUUGUUUUUUCAAAAGGAGGGUGGACUUGAGCUAUCCCAACAACCUUCACCGGUAGGCGGGCGGCUUGAAAUGCAGGUGCAGCUGGACUUUUAUCUGAGCUAAAAGCAUAUCUAUUUAGUCCUCGUCAAACAGGAUUAUUACUAUUGCUGCAGCUAACAUAAAGGAUAAUUGUCCUCAUUGCUGACUGAUGCAGGAUUUUACGACACUUUAUGUGUUGUUCAACUCGAUCUCAAAUCAAGUAAGACUACCCGCUGAACUUAAGCAUAUCAAUA